UGUGUCUACAGCUGCCUAUUGGUUGAGACU
rnacentral:piRNA from 1 species